ensembl:lncRNA
CUUUAUUUUUCAUUGAUGAAAUUAUAAAUUUAGGGAAAAAAUGCAUUCUUAGAAAUUAUACAUUACUCAUGAAAAACAUGAUGUGCCUUUGUGUUGUAAUUUAAUGGAAAAAUGAAUUACAACAACAUACAUAGACAAAUAUUGCAAGGUUACAUUCAUAGGAAAUUAUAAAGAACAUCAUAAUAGUAGUUCAGAAACUAAGCAAAAUGUACAAUAUAAUCACAUAAAGGAAAUGUGUGUUUGUGGAACCAGUUUAGUGAGCCCAACUUCCAUGGACUGAUGGAUCUUGGCCAGUGAUCAGUUACAACGUUUCUCUGAGGAGCCCUGCGUGAAUAACAAACAGAUGAAUAUAACAUGAAUAACAAACAGAUGAAUAUAACAUAAAUAACAAACAGAUGAAUAUAACAUGAAUAACAAACAGAUGAAUAUAACAUGAAUAACAAACAGAUGAAUAUAACAUGAAUAACACAGACAGAUGAAUAUAACAUAAAUAACAAACAGAUUAAUAUAACAUGAAUAUCACAGACAGAUUAAUACAUCAUGAAUACCACAGACAGAUUAAUAUAACAUGAAUAACAGACAGAAUAAAACAACAUGAUUAACAAGGACAGAUUAACAUAACAUGAAUAAGAAACAAAUAAAUAUAACAUGAAUAACACAGACAGAUUAAUAUAACAUGAAUAUCAGACUGAUUAAUAUAACAUGAAUAACACAGACAGAUUAAUACAACAUGAAUAUCAGACAGAUUAAUAUAACAUGAAUACCACAGACAGAUAAUACAGAUUAACAUAAUGAAGAGAUAAAAUAGUUUGGAUGUCCUCUAUCAAAAUAAAGAAGAGAUAGAGGAAUGUGGAUGUCCUGUAUGAUAUUAAUGAAGAGAUAGAGGAGUGUGGAUGUCCUCUAUCACAUUAAAGAAGAGAUAGAGGAGUGUGGAUGUCCUGUAUGACAACAAAGAAGAGAUAGAGGAGUGUGGAUGUCCUGUAUCACAUUAAAGAAGAGAUAGAGGAGUGUGGAUGUCCUGUAUCACAUUAUAGAAGAGAUAGAGGAGUGUGGAUGUCCUGUAUGACAUUAUAGAAGAGAUAGAGGAGUGUGGAUGUCCUGUAUCACAUUAAAGAAGAGAUAGAGGAGUGUGGAUGUCCUGUAUGACAUUAUAGAAGAGAUAGAGGAGUGUGGAUGUCCUGUAUCACAUUAAAGAAGAGAUAGAGGAGUGUGGAUGUCCUGUAUCACAUUAUAGAAGAGAUAGAGGAGUGUGGAUGUCCUGUAUGACAUUAUAGAAGAGAUAGAGGAGUGUGGAUGUCCUGUAUCACAUUAAAGAAGAGAUAGAGGAGUGUGGAUGUCCUGUAUGACAUUAUAGAAGAGAUAGAGGAGUGUGGAUGUCCUGUGUCACAUUAUAGAAGAGAUAGAAGAGUGUGGAUGUCCUGUAUGACAUUAUAGAAGAGAUAGAGGAGUGUGGAUGUCCUGUAUCACAUUAAAGAAGAGAUAGAGGAGUGUGGAUGUCCUGUAUCACAUUAAAGAAGAGAUAGAGGAGUGUGGUGUCAUAGUUGCAUUGUACCCACGUGGAACUUCCAAAAUAGAGCCGUGAUGACUAGCCCGUAGAAUGUACUCUUAGCGAUGACGAUGAUGUAGGCCAGUUUGGCAAAAACUGAGCUCUUCACAAGGUUUUCUGUGAGGAAAGUGAAAAUAGUCAUAUUACCUUGUUAAAGACUGUCAGGUAAUAUUGUCAGCCAAUCAUCAAAUAAGACAAAUUCCUCACAAUCAGUGAUCUGGCUUGUGUGUUUGUUCAUCCUGGGGACAUAAAUAAGGGCCCUAUUUGCCCUUUACACCUAAUUCUACUAUUCAAAGAGUGAAUGUUGAGAUGAUUAGUGGAAUCAGGUGUGUGGGAGAAAAGAUGUCCACACCUUUGGGUUCCCAGAACCAGGAAAACA